GAUGAACGCUGGCGGCGUGCCUAAUACAUGCAAGUCGAACGGAAAGGCGCUGCUCUUGUGGGUUGCUCGUGUGGCGAACGGGUGAGUAAAACGUGAGUAACAUGUCCCUGUCUUUGGGAUAACACUACGAGAAAGGGGCGAUAACACCGUAGAAUCUAUUGCACCAUGGGGGGCGAUAGGGAGAUUCGGCGGUUUUGGCUAGAAUAGAGGCUUAUCAGCCUCUUUGUCGGGUAGUGGCGUACCAAGGUUUUGACGGGUAGCCCGCCUGGGAGCGUGGACAGCGACAAUGGGACUGAGGUACGGCCCAGACGGCUACGGGACGCAGUAGGGGAGAGUAUUACGCAAUGGGCGGGAGCGAGAUGCAACAACGCCGCGUGCGUGAUGACGGCCUUCGGGUGGUAAACCGCUUUCGCCUGUGACGAGGCCGGAGUGACGGUACUGGGUAAAGAAGCCCCGGCUAACUACGUG
rnacentral:rRNA from 1 species